UGGGAAUUUGGACAAUGGCGAAAGCCUGAUCCAGCAAUGCCGCGUGUGUGAAGAAGGCCUUCGGGUUGUAAAGCACUUUUGUCCCGGAAAGAAAUCCUUGGCUCUAAUACAGUCGGGGGAUACGGUACCGGAAGAAUAAGCACCGGCUAACUACGUGCCAGCAGCCGCGGUAAUACGUAGGGUGCAAGCGUUAAUCGGAAUUACUGGGCGUAAAGCGUGCGCAGGCGGUUUGCUAAGACCGAUGUGAAAUCCCCGGGCUCAACCUGGGACUGCAUUGGUGACUGGCAGGCUAGAGNAUGGCAGAGGGGGUAGAAUUCCACGUGUACAGUGAAAUGCGUAGAGAUGUGGAGGAAUACCGAUGGCGAAGGCAGCCCCUGGCCAAGUACUGACGCUCAUGCACGAAAAGGUGGGGAGCAAACAGGAUUAGAUACCCUGGUAGUCCACGCCCUAAACGAUGU
rnacentral:rRNA from 1 species